rnacentral:rRNA from 1 species
GGCUCAGGAUGAACGCUAGCUACAGGGCUUAAACACAUGCAAGUCGAGGGGAAACGAUAGAGAAGCUUGCUUUUCUAGGCGUCAACCGGCGCACGGGUGAGUAACGCGUAUCCAACCUGCCCAUCACUUGGGGAUAACCUUGCGAAAGUAAGACUAAUACCCAAUGACGUCUCUAGAAGACAUCUGAAAGAGAUUAAAGAUUUAUCGGUGAUGGAUGGGGAUGCGUCUGAUUAGCUUGUUGGCGGGGUAACGGCCCACCAAGGCGACGAUCAGUAGGGGUUCUGAGAGGAAGGUCCCCCACAUUGGAACUGAGACACGGUCCAAACUCCUACGGGAGGCAGCAGUGAGGAAUAUUGGUCAAUGGACGAGAGUCUGAACCAGCCAAGUAGCGUGCAGGAUGACGGCCCUAUGGGUUGUAAACUGCUUUUAUAAGGGAAUAAAGUGAGUCUCGUGAGACUUUUUGCAUGUACCUUAUGAAUAAGGACCGGCUAAUUCCGUG